GGCCCUACGGGGCGCAGCAGGCGCGAAAACUUUACAAUGCGAGAAAUCGUGAUAAGGGAACCCCGAGUGCCCGUAAAUUCGGGCUGUCCGCCAGUGCAAAAAACUGGCGAAGAAAGAGCCGGGCAAGACCGGUGCCAGCCGCCGCGGUAACACCGGCGGCUCGAGUGGUGGUCACUAUUACUGGGCUUAAAGCGUCCGUAGCUUGGUUGUUAAGUCUCUUGGGAAAUCCACCGGCUCAACCGAUGGGCGUCAGGAGAUAUUGGCAACCUAGGGACCGGGAGAGGUGAGGGGUACUCCAGGGGUAGGAGUGAAAUCCUGUAAUCCUUGGGGGACCACCUGUGGCGAAGGCGUCUCACUAGAACGGCUCCGACAGUGAGGGACGAAAGCUGGGGGAGCAAACCGGAUUAGAUACCCGGGUAGUCCCAGCUGUAAACGAUGCGCGUUAGGUGUAUCGGUGACCACGAGUCACCGAGGUGCCGAAGGGAAACCGUGAAACGUGCCGCCUGGGACGUACGGUCGCAAGGCUGAAACUUAAAGGAAUUGGCGGGGGAGCACCACAACAGGUGGAGCCUGCGGUUUAAUCGGACUCA
rnacentral:rRNA from 1 species